rnacentral:sRNA from 1 species
UGCCUAACCCCAUUGAUAACCUCACUGGAUAUGGCAUAAAACCCACCUGCACACUGAACCCGUCGUUCAGCUCCAUGCAGGUGGUCCAUACCCGAAAGGGCAUGGGAGGGUCGAAAGGCUCUC